GAUUUUCGCAAUGCCCGAAAGGGUGACAAUGCGACGCCGCGUGCGCGAUGAAGGUUUUCGGAUUGUAAAGCGCUGUCGGCCGGGAGGAAUCACUGGAGGCUUAAUUAGCUUGCAGGGUGACAGUACCGGCAGAGGAAGCCACGGCUAACUCCGUGCCAGCAGCCGCGGUAAUACGGAGGUGGCAGGCGUUACUCGGGUUGAUUGGGUGUAAAGGGCAUGCGGGUGGCGAGUUAAGUCGAAUGUGAAAUACCUUGGCUCAACCAAGGAACUGCAUUCGAAACUGGUUUGCUUGAGGGAUGGAGAGGAAAGCGGAAUUCCCGGUGUAACAGUGAAAUGUGUAGAUAUCGGGAGGAACACCAGUGGGGAAAGCGGUUCUCUAGACUGUCACUGACACUGAAAUGCGAAAGCUAGGGGAGCAAACAGGAUUAGAUACCCUGGUAGUCCUAGCCGUAAACGAUGGGCACUAAGUAGAGGGGUUUUAAUC
rnacentral:rRNA from 1 species